rnacentral:misc_RNA from 1 species
GAUGAAGAACGCAGCGAAAUGCGAUAAGUAAUGUGAAUUGCAGAAUUCAGUGAAUCAUCGAAUCUUUGAACGCACAUUGCGCCCGCCAGUAUUCUGGCGGGCAUGCCUGUUCGAGCGUCAUUUCAACCAUCAAGCCCCCGGCUUGUGUUGGGGACCUGCGGCUGCCGCAGGCCCUGAAAACCAGUGGCGGGCUCGCUAGUCACUCCGAGCGUAGUAAUACAUCUCGCUCAGGGCGUGCUGCGGGUUCCGGCCGUUAAAAAGCCUUAUUUACCCAAGGUUGACCUCGGAUCAGGUAGGAAGACCCGCUGAACUAAAGCAUAUCAAUAAGCGGAGGA